CCUACGGGCGGCAGCAGUGGGGAAUAUUGGACAAUGGGCGAAAGCCUGAUCCAGCCAUGCCGCGUGUGUGAAGAAGGCCUUCGGGUUGUAAAGCACUUUCAGUGGGGAAGAAAGCCUUGGGGCUAAUACCCUCGAGGAAGGACAUCACCCACAGAAGAAGCACCGGCUAACUCCGUGCCAGCAGCCGCGGUAAUACGGAGGGUGCGAGCGUUAAUCGGAAUUACUGGGCGUAAAGCGCGCGUAGGCGGUUUGAUAAGCCGGUUGUGAAAGCCCCGGGCUCAACCUGGGAACGGCAUCCGGAACUGUCAGGCUAGAGUGCAGGAGAGGAAGGUAGAAUUCCCGGUGUAGCGGUGAAAUGCGUAGAGAUCGGGAGGAAUACCAGUGGCGAAGGCGGCCUUCUGGACUGACACUGACGCUGAGGUGCGAAAGCGUGGGUAGCAAACAGGAUUAGAUACCCUAGUGUC
rnacentral:rRNA from 1 species